rnacentral:rRNA from 1 species
GAUGAACGCUGGCGGCGUGCUUAACACAUGCAAGUCGAACGGAAAGGCUCCUGCUUGCAGGGGUACUCGAGUGGCGAACGGGUGAGUAACACGUGGGUGAUCUGCCCUGCACUUCGGGAUAAGCCUGGGAAACUGGGUCUAAUACCGGAUAGGACGAUGGUUUGGAUGCCAUUGUGGAAAGUUUUUUCGGUGUGGGAUGAGCUCGCGGCCUAUCAGCUUGUUGGUGGGGUAAUGGCCUACCAAGGCGUCGACGGGUAGCCGGCCUGAGAGGGUGUACGGCCACAUUGGGACUGAGAUACGGCCCAGACUCCUACGGGAGGCAGCAGUGGGGAAUAUUGCACAAGGGGCGCAAGCCUGAUGCAGCGACGCCGCGUGGGGGAUGACGGCCUUCGGGUUGUAACUCCUUUCGCUAGGGACGAAGCGCAAGUGACGGUACCUGGAGAAGAAGCACCGGCUAACUACGUG